rnacentral:rRNA from 1 species
CCUACGGGAGGCAGCAGCAAGGAAUUUUCGUCAAUGGGCGCAAGCCUGAACGAGCAACGCCGCGUGCAGGAUGACGGCCUUCGGGUUGUAAACUGCUUUUUCGGGGGAUGAUUGUGACAGUACCCCGGGAAUAAGGCUCGGCUAACUCUGUGCCAGCAGCCGCGGUAAU